UACGUAGGGGGCAAGCGUUAUCCGGAUUUACUGGGUGUAAAGGGAGCGUAGACGGAUGGACAAGUCUGAUGUGAAAGGCUGGGGCUCAACCCCGGGACUGCAUUGGAAACUGCCCGUCUUGAGUGCCGGAGAGGUAAGCGGAAUUCCUAGUGUAGCGGUGAAAUGCGUAGAUAUUAGGAGGAACACCAGUGGCGAAGGCGGCUUACUGGACGGUAACUGACGUUGAGGCUCGAAAGCGUGGGGAGCAAACAGGAUUAGAUACCCGGGCCGGCUGACUGACU
rnacentral:rRNA from 1 species